GAUGAACGCUAGCUACAGGCUUAACACAUGCAAGUCGAGGGGCAGCAUGAUUGAAGCUUGCUUCAAUCGAUGGCGACCGGCGCACGGGUGAGUAACACGUAUCCAACCUGCCGAUAACUCGGGGAUAGCCUUUCGAAAGAAAGAUUAAUACCCGAUAGUAUAGUAUUUCCGCAUGGUUUCACUAUUAAAGAACUUCGGUUAUCGAUGGGGAUGCGUUCCAUUAGAUAGUUGGCGGGGUAACGGCCCACCAAGUCAACGAUGGAUAGGGGUUCUGAGAGGAAGGUCCCCCACAUUGGAACUGAGACACGGUCCAAACUCCUACGGGAGGCAGCAGUGAGGAAUAUUGGUCAAUGGACGAGAGUCUGAACCAGCCAAGUAGCGUGAAGGAUGACUGCCCUAUGGGUUGUAAACUUCUUUUAUACGGGAAUAAAGUGGAGUAUGCAUACUCCUUGGUAUGUACCGUAUGAAUAAGGAUCGGCUAACUCCGG
rnacentral:rRNA from 1 species